GAGCUGUUGCAUGAUGAAUUCAAUGAGUGAUCCAUCAACAGAUUUAAAGCUGUUGACUCAUCAAAUACUGACAAUAGCUU
ensembl:snoRNA